rnacentral:rRNA from 1 species
GCCACAGUAAUUUCUGUGCCAACGUAGCAUAAUAAUUCGUUUUUAAUUGAAAAACAGAAUGAAAGGAUAAACGACUUAAAUAUUUUAAAAAUAUUAUUAAAAUUAAACUAUUAAAUUAGCAUAAAAGUAAAAAGACUUUUAUAAAAAAGAGACAACAAGACCCUAUAGAGCUUCACUUUAUAGUUUUGCUGGGGCAGCAAAAAACAAUAACUUUUCAAUCAUAUAACAAUUUAGACCUAAAAUUUUUAAUUUUUAAAACAAGUUACCUUAGGGAUAACAGCGUUAUUUUACUCCACAGAUCUCAUAAAAAGUAAAUAUUAUGACCUCGAUGUUGAUUUAAUUUUUCUUAAUUAAGUAAAAAUAAUUAAGAUAAGUCUGUUCGACUUUUAAAAAAUUACAUGAUUUGAGUUCAGACCAGCUUAAGCCAAGUCAGAUUAUAUCUUCUUAAAUUAACAGUAUGAAAGGAACUAAAUUACAUUA